GAUUAAGAACGCAGCGAAAUGCGAUAAGUAAUGUGAAUUGCAGAAUUCAGUGAAUCAUCGAAUCUUUGAACGCACAUUGCGCCCGGUAGUAUUCUGCCGGGCAUGCCUGUUCGAGCGUCAUUUCAACCAUCAAGCCCCAGCGCUUGUGUUGGGGGCCUGCGGCUGCCGCAGCCCCCCAAAAGCAGUGGCGGGCUCGCUAUCACACCGAGUGCAGUAGUUCAUCUUCUCUCCGGUCUUGUGAGGCGGGUUCCGGCCGUGAAACACCCCACUACAUUCAAGGUUGACCUCGGAUCAGGUAGGAAUACCCGCUGAACUUAAGCAUAUCAAUAAGCGGAGGA
rnacentral:misc_RNA from 1 species